GAUGAAGAACGCAGCGAAAUGCGAUAAGUAAUGCGAAUUGCAGAAUUUCCGUGAGUCAUCGAAUCUUUGAACGCACAUUGCGCCCGCUGGAACUCCGGCGGGCACGCCUGUCCGAGCGUCAUUUCAACCCUCAGGCCCCCCUUCGCGGGCGGGCCUGGUGUUGGGGCCCGGCCGCUACCCUGCGGCCGUCCCCUAAAUUCAGUGGCGGCCUCGCCGUGAUCCCUUGCGUAGUAAUGCACCUCGCACCGGAGAGCGCCGUGGCCACGCCGUAAAACCCCCAAUUUUCAAUGGUUGACCUCGGAUCAGGUGGGAAUACCCGCUGAACUUAAGCAUAUCAAUAAGCGGAGGA
rnacentral:misc_RNA from 1 species